rnacentral:misc_RNA from 1 species
UCCGUGUUGACCACGGCAGUCUCCCAAGAGUCCCCGGCAUCACGUGCUGGCAGCAUAGAACGAGGGUUGCGCUCGUUGCGGGACUUAACCCAACAUCUCACGACACGAGCUGACGACAACCAUGCACCACCUGUAAACCGACCGCAAGCGGGGGACCUGUUUCCAGGUCUUACCGGUUCAUGUCAAGCCUUGGUAAGGUUCUUCGCGUUGCAUCGAAUUAAACCACAUGCACCACCGCUUGUGCGGGCCCCCGUCAAUUCCUUUGAGUUUCAGUCUUGCGACCGUACUCCCCAGGCGGAGUGCUUAAUGUGUUGACUUCGGCACAGCAGGGGUCGAUACCCGCUACACCAAGCACUCAUCGUUUACGGCGUGGACUAC